CAAAGGGUAGUUUAGUGCUAUAAAUGCUGGCUUUGGGAGCCGGUGAUGGCGGCUAAAAUCCGCCUCCUUUGA
rnacentral:tRNA from 1 species